rnacentral:rRNA from 1 species
UACGUAGGGUGCAAGCGUUGUCCGGAAUUAUUGGGCGUAAAGAGCUCGUAGGCGGUCUGUCGCGUCUGCUGUGAAAACUCAGGGCUUAACCCUGAGCUUGCAGUGGGUACGGGCAGACUAGAGUGCGGUAGGGGAGACUGGAAUUCCGUGGUGAUAGCGGUGAAAUGCGCAGAUAUCAGGAGGAACACCGGUGGCGAAGGCGGGUCUCUGGGCCGGUAACUGACG